ensembl:lncRNA
CCUCUGUCCAUGGAAUUCUCCAGGCAGGAAUUCUGGAGUGGAUUGCCAUGCCCUCCUCCUGGGGAUCUUCCCAACCCAUGGAUUGAACCCAGCACUUAUAGGGGAUGUGCUCACACGUGUAAAGCAAAAUCCCAAUUAGAGUUGAUGGGGGAUUGGCUACCUAAAGCAAUAAGAAUCUAAGAGCACCGAUGGCUGCAGUCCCAAACAUUCUACACAUUCCAAGUAGAAAGAAGCAAGAAGGAGAUGAUUUCUACUCGUCUAUGUCUCACUGUCCAAACUAAGUCACAUGGCUGUGUUAAUUACCAGGGAAUCUGAGAAGGCAAGGACUUCAGUAAAGGAAAGGCUAGGCUUAGACCCACAAGCGGACAAAGUUGUAGAAGUUGGCAGCAGAGUGGUUAAAGAGAGCCCCACCUUUCAGAUGUGAGAACCAACAUGGAAGUUCAGGAAACUGGAAAGUACCAAAAUAUCUGGAA